GUGAAGACGUCAUUGCUCUUGCUUAAUCUGCUGCUUAAGACACAGUUGUGAUGCAGGUAUAUAUAUAUAUAUAUAUAUACACACACAUACACACGUAUAUAUAUGAAAAGGGGCGGACCCAGAAAGACUUUCCCGCUGCCAUUCCAGCCAAUCACAGCUUAAAUCACUACAGCACAACAUGAGGACAGCUCCUGAUUGGCUGGCAGGUGAAAAGGUGCAAAAGGGGCGGAGCCAGAGCGUGGAAACCUAUAAAAGGGGCGCUUGAAAGGGGCUGGCCCUGAAACCGUGACAUUAUUAGCUAGUAAGCGUGCAUUUUUUCAUUCUUUUCACUUUCACUUUUUUUCAUGUUCAGGAGGGUAAAUAGGCGUGAUUGGGAAGACCCACCUGAUGCGUGGCGGAUGAUUUGGACCCCUGGACCUGAUCGAGCCCCCGGCAGGGUGCAUUACGUAUCACACAGUGGGGACUUUAAGAUCAAGUUUCCACACUAUGAGAGCUUGGAGGAGCUGCAGGAAAUGCUGUUCAAGAAGUACAUAUGCAGAGGCAGGCUGCUGUCAAGAAUUCGUGCCUACAGAAUGAAUGGGCCUUCUGAUACUACCUUUUCAAUUUGGCAUGAAAUGUUCACCUGGAGGGCAGAUGGCUGGGAGUGUAGCUUCACAGCUGGAGAUGAGGCUAGCGAAUUAAUGUGGACUCCCAUUUACGAUUCGCCCGUCGCGUCUGAGGACUCCAGCUCAUCUGAUGACGACAAACCUGGACCUUCUGGACAGUCCGGAGUUCAAACCCAGAGCUCAGAUCCACAGCGUGCUGAGGAUGCGGACGCUGGAUCCAGCAGUCAGGAGGAACAGAUCGUGUCGUUGAGGAGCAUAGGAACAAAUACUGGCGCUGCUGAAAAUAAAUGUUGAGGCUCCAGUUCAUCUGAU
rnacentral:lncRNA from 1 species